rnacentral:rRNA from 1 species
UUCCGGUUGAUCCUGCCGGAGGUUACUGCUAUCGAGGUUCGACUAAGCCAUGCGAGUCGAAUGUAGCAAUACAUGGCGUACUGCUCAGUAACACGUGGACAACCUGCCCUUAGGUUGGGUAUAAACCCGGGAAACUGGGUAUAAUCCCCUAUAAGUCUCGGCUGCUGGAAUGCACCGAGAUUAAAAGCUCCGGCGCCUAAGGACGGGUCUGCGGCCUAUCAGGUAGUAGUGGGUGUAGCGUACCUACUAGCCUACGACGGGUACGGGUUGUGAGAGCAAGAGCCCGGAGAUGGAUUCUGAGACACGAAUCCAGGCCCUACGGGGUGCAGCAGGCGCGAAAACUUUACAAUGCUGGCAACAGCGAUAAGGGAACCUCGAGUGCCAGGUUACAAAUCUGGCUGUCGAGAUGCCUAAAAAGCAUUUCAUAGCAAGGGCCGGGCAAGACCGGUGCCAGCCGCCGCGGUAACACCGGCGGCUCGAGUGGUAACCGUUAUUAUUGGGUCUAAAGGGUCUGUAGCCGGCCGGAUAAGUCUCUUGAGAAAUCUGGCAGCUUAACUGUCAGGCUUUCAGGAGAUACUGUCUGGCUCGAGGCCGGGAGAGGUGAGAGGUACUUCAGGGGUAGGGGUGAAAUCUUGUAAUCCUUGAAGGACCACCAGUGGCGAAGGCGUCUCACCAGAACGGACCUGACGGCAAGGGGCGAAAGCUAGGGGCACGAACCGGAUUAGAUACCCGGGUAGUCCUAGCCGUAAACGAUACUCGCUAGGUGUCGGCCACGGUGCGACCGUUGUCGGUGCCGUAGGGAAGCCGUGAAGCGAGCCACCUGGGAAGUACGGCCGCAAGGCUGAAACUUAAAGGAAUUGGGCGGGGGAGCACA